GGUGCCGCGCUCGGCGCGCUGAGCUCCGCCGGGCCCGGAGCAGCCCCGGCCCGGGAGAGGAGGGGGCGCAGAGCGGGGGCUGCCUCCUGAGCCGCUCCUACCGGGGGCACCGACCGGGGGGCUGCAGAUGCGGCCGGGGGUCCCGGCGGGACGGUACCGAGGGGGCCGCAGCCCCCGCCGCCCGGGCGGUCCCGCUGCAGCCGCGGAGGCUCCUGUGCCCGGACCCGAGCCCUCGGCGGGGCUGUGCCGGGAGCGGCCCCGGCCCGGCCGAUGCUCGGUGGGUUAGCGGAGGAGUGAGUUGCCGGUGUUCCUUCAGGAUGAGCAGGGACGGGUCUGCGGGACUCCCGUGGCUGGGAUGCAGUGCUGGAAAUGAAGCCUGAUGGUGUGUGAGGCUGAGCUCCGAGUGCCAUUGUGACUGAGUGGGACCAUGUGCAGUUUGAGGAUCCGAGGUGCAGCCAGCUCCCCUCCGGCUGCUGAGCUCCACUGCAGUUGUAGCACGUGGAAACUACACUCCUGAUGAGCUCAAGCUAAGCCUUGUAGAGUCCAGUAGAAGACUUCGCCCAGCGGAAAACCUCACACCUCUGCUGCAGGACAUCACUGUGCCUGAUGCGGGUGUCCCCUGGACAGAGCUGGAACAGACGUUCAUUCUCUCACCUCUGCAGCUUGGGAGCUUAUGCUGAGAUUUUUUAUGUUCCUCGUUCUUUUUGCCAUCAGUCAGGCACGCACCUCACAUUUCUAGCUCCAGUGAAGGGAAGGUGGUAAGUUUGUUCAGAUGGAUCCCACGAGCUUUUGAACCUCUUGUGAGCCUUCUCUUGCCAGCCUUUCCUUCCCCAGACUCUUGUAUCUGCUGUUCUCUUAUUGUUUCCAUGGGUCAGCGCUGGUCACCUUCUUAGAUGGGAUUCUUUGUCUGAAAGCAUGAUUGGAAAAGGUGUCUACUCAGACAUGCACAGCUGCUUUAGUUACCAGUGUGGAAAUUCACUCUUUCCAUUUCUUUGGUUCCUCAUCCUUGAAGAGGAUGU